rnacentral:rRNA from 1 species
UAGAUACCCUGGUAGUCCACGCCGUAAACGUUGGGCGCUAGGUGUGGGUGACAUUCCACGUUGUCCGUGCCGUAGCUAACGCAUUAAGCGCCCCGCCUGGGGAGUACGGCCGCAAGGCUAAAACUCAAAGGAAUUGACGGGGGCCCGCACAAGCGGCGGAGCAUGUGGAUUAAUUCGAUGCAACGCGAAGAACCUUACCUGGGCUUGACAUACACCGGACCGCUCCAGAGAUGGGGCUUCCCUUGUGGCU